rnacentral:rRNA from 1 species
GGGACACGUGGUAUCCUGUCUGAAUAUGGGGGGACCAUCCUCCAAGGCUAAAUACUCCUGACUGACCGAUAGUGAACCAGUACCGUGAGGGAAAGGCGAAAAGAACCCCGGCGAGGGGAGUGAAAAAGAACCUGAAACCGUGUACGUACAAGCAGUGGGAGCCUCUUAAUGGGGUGACUGCGUACCUUUUGUAUAAUGGGUCAGCGACUUAUAUUCUGUAGCAAGGUUAACCGAAUAGGGGAGCCGAAGGGAAACCGAGUCUUAACUGGGCGUUAAGUUGCAGGGUAUAGACCCGAAACCCGGUGAUCUAGCCAUGGGCAGGUUGAAGGUUGGGUAACACUAACUGGAGGACCGAACCGACUAAUGUUGAAAAAUUAGCGGAUGACUUGUGGCUGGGGGUGAAAGGCCAAUCAAACCGGGAGAUAGCUGGUUCUCCCCGAAAGCUAUUUAGGUAGCGCCUCGUGAAUUCAUCUCCGGGGGUAGAGCACUGUUUCGGCAAGGGGGUCAUCCCGACUUACCAACCCGAUGCAAACUGCGAAUACCGGAGAAUGUUAUCACGGGAGACACACGGCGGGUGCUAACGUCCGUCGUGAAGAGGGAAACAACCCAGACCGCCAGCUAAGGUCCCAAAGUCAUGGUUAAGUGGGAAACGAUGUGGGAAGGCCCAGACAGCCAGGAUGUUGGCUUAGAAGCAGCCAUCAUUUAAAGAAAGCGUAAUAGCUCACUGGUCGAGUCGGCCUGCGCGGAAGAUGUAACGGGGCUAAACCAUGCACCGAAGCUGCGGCAGCGACACUAUGUGUUGUUGGGUAGGGGAGCGUUCUGUAAGC